ACUUCGAUUUUGUCUGCUUAAUGUUUGUUGUUGUUUGGGUGUGUUUAUAUCUGAGGGGAACCAGUAUAUAAAGAAAUAUGCUCUUUUUUCUUAGAAAUAUUGUGUUAAAAUCUUCUCAAAGUAAUAAAAGUAUAAUUCUUCCAAGAAGAUUUCGUGUUACGACAGAGACUGGUGCUUUUCAUCCAGAACCAAAGAAAACGAAUUUUGGUCUUGUUCGUGUGUUGUUAACUGUGUUACCAGGUUUAUAUCUGGGUGCUACAGUAAGCAAGGAAGGUGCGGCAUUUUUAGAAGAAAAUGAUAUUUUUGUUCCAGAUGAAGAUGAUGAUGAAGAUUAAACCCUUUCCUUUUUAAGUUUCUAGAAUAGAGUAGACAACUCCUCCAUGCACUACCCUCUACUAAAUUAUGUCAUUGUCCUCGACCAUCCUUUGAUCAUUAGUACUGAUAUUGAACUUUUGAAUAUACAUGCAUGAAACAUCGAUAUAAGUUUGUAAAACUGAUUUAGUAAAGUCGAUUUUCUGGAGUUUAGAGGCUGAAGCCAGUAAGAGCUGGCGCUAAUACCUCACUUUAAGAGUGAGGUAUAGUGGCAUGGUAAUGAUAGAUUAUUAAGAAUAAAUGAUGAGAUUUUUAACACAGAAAUUGAAUAUCCUUUUUGAACUUUAUGGUGCUAUCUUAUUAUGCCAGCAAUAGUUAUACUAGAAAUAUCAAGAAAGAUGUUGAAGAAAAUUGUUUUCUGAUAAUCUAUUGAUCUGUUUUCUGGUGAUUGUCUACUAGCCUUCACAGAGUUAUUUCGUAUGCUAGGUGUCAAAACAAGGGAAUAAUAUGUUUUUUUUUUUUUUUAAUUAUUGAAGGUUUUCUAUAUCUCAAAAGUAAUGUAGUGUGAUGGAUUUGUAUAUGAAAUAAUAUUAUUCAUGAAUAAAUUUAGAGUUUCAUCUUUGAUAUAUUAUGGUUAAUUAUUAACUUGCUAUGGUUAAUUUAAUGGAACUGCCCUAUUUUCAAAAACCAAUAUUUAUUCCUGUUUAUAAUUUUUUCUCCUUAAAGUUAUGUUAACUAUUGAAAAAAUGUAAUUGUGUUUGUUAUCACUACAUAUUUCUUCAAUAUUGUAAUUAUUUGAUUUAUCAUAAUUUUGUGUUUACAGUUUAUUAAGAUAUUAAUAUAAAAUUUCCUUAUCGCAAAAAACCUUAAAAUUUUGUUAUUCAACUGUAUUGUUAAUUGUUUCGGUUUUUAAACUGGAAAGUGUGUGACAUUUAAUUGUGUAUGGAAACUAGUUAGUUAUCACUUUUUUUUAUUCCAAAAGAAAUGAUGAAUCACUUACAAAAAAUCAAAUUGAAUCAAAUUAUCAAAUUGAAAAAAAUCAAAUUGAAUCAAAUGAUUUAAGAAUAAAAAAUCUAAGAUUAUGUUUAUAUUCUGAUUACACUCAAAAUAAAGUUAUGGAUUUCAUACACAUACACAUUUAAUACAAUCAUUAUUUUUACAGACUCUUUCUUUUCCUUGCAACAAAAUUUCGGUUUCUUUUUUCAUUUCCCCCUGUUUAAUUUUUUGAAUUAUUAACUGCACUCAUAUCUUUAAAAUUUCUAAUUAUUGUGCUUUUUUGUUUAAGUAUUGUACAUAUUUAUCACCUUACUGUGUGUUCAGAAAACUACUGAUGACUAGAAAAAUAUAAAAAUAUGUAAAAACUAAAACUACAUUUCUGUCCCAUUCAACCUAUUUUUAAAUUGAUUUUUCAAAACAUCUGCCAUUUUUGACACAUGGCAGUUUUGUCAUGUACUCGAAAUAAUUAAUUAAUAUUAAUAUUUAAUACAUUCCAAGGGAAAGUACUUUAAAAUGGUUUUAUCUUUAAAAGCAUUAAUUAUGUAUUGAUAUAUAAUUAAAUAAUUUAUCACAUAUUAAAAUAUGUAUAAUUUCUUUUUUAACUUAAAUAAAAUGCAUAUGAAAAUUUUAUUUGAUUUUUUAAUUGUUGAUUGUAAGAUUUCAAUGUUCAGGAAUUGCUUCUGUUUUAGUAAUUAUUUCAAAUUUCUGGAUUAAUAUCUAUGCAUUAUAUGAUAUUGUCUUUUACUAAUUUUGAAUAAGAAAGUAUAACUUUUAAAAAAAUAGGUUAAGCAUGUUAAUUACAGUCAUCAGAAUUUGCAUAAUUGUCAUUUAUGUCUCUAAAAAUGUUAGUUUUCUUCUUGUUUUUUGAGUGUUGGAUCAAACAUUUUUGCAAAUAUUUGUUUUUUUAUUGUAAUUCUUUGAAGGGUAAAAAGAAAGGGAAUUCAUGAAUGCUUUUUGAAUAAAUUUUCUAAACUUAUAAAUUUUUUAUUUUGUAGAGCUAUAUUAUAGUUGCUUUAUGAAAAAAAUUAUUUUCUCCCCUCUGAACUGCAUUUUUUCAUAUUAUAAAUUUUAAUCUGACUGUUAUAUUUUAUUAUAGUUUUAUAAAGAAUAGUCGUUAACUAAAGUGAUGGUUAGAAUUUUUAUUGCAUUUUUUGUUUAGGUGGAUUGUCAUUAUUUAUUUAUUUACAUGUUUUUUUCUGCUAUAUGGAAUGUUUUUUAAGUUUUAUAUAUACUUAAUAUUUUUAUCGACAUAGUUGCUAAUGGAAAUUUGUAUUGUUUUUGAAAAUAAUGUUAUCCUAGUAGUAGAGUGUGGAUAUUCUCUUUGUUCUACGUAUACAUAUAUACACAUACAAAUAUUUAUGGAAAUUAAGAAUCUUAUUUGUGUCUUUUACGCCAUGCUGUUAAACCAAUAAUUCUUAUGUUUCGGAAAGUCAUGAAUUGAAUAAUCUUUUCUGUUGUUGUUUAUUUCUAUGUUAGAAUUAUUUGAAAUAUUGAUAAACAAAUUAUUAUUAAGUAAAAAUUUAUGAUGUAUCAUGGGUACUAUGAAAUGGAUUGUUUGAAACGAUUUAAACAAUUAUUUGCAUUUGUUUGUUACUUAUAAACAUUAAAAAAAUUUAGAGUGCGCUGUAAUUGCUCUGUGUCACAAAACUCACCCAUUCCUUGUAUUUUGUUCUGGAUAUUUUAAUUAAAGGAAUAGUUGUAAUAUUAAUAAGGUGUGCCUUGGUAAUAUAGUAUAUUUAGGUAUUAAUUGAAUUUUAACUUUAUCUUUGAUAUUUAAAAAUUUCUUUAUCUGAGUUUAAGUUUUUACACUUUACAUCCAUUAAAAAAGAAAUGAUUUUAUACUAUUUAUUUUAUGCAUCCUUUUAUAUUCGAAGACUUUUAUUUAAUAGUUUGUUUAUGGUUACUGUUCAAACAGAGUUAAAUUAGCUGUUACAUUGUGUUGGAAUAUUUAAUAGCAUGUAAAUAUUGUUUUUAAUAAAUGUUAAUGAAGAAUC
rnacentral:lncRNA from 1 species